rnacentral:snRNA from 1 species
AGAUGUGAGGGCAAUCUGGCUGUGAUAUCUGUCACCCCAUUGAUCGCCAGGGUUGAUUUGGCUGAUCUGGUUGGCUAGAUGGGUGUCCCCUUCCUCCCUCACCACUCUAUGUGCAUCCCUCCUGAAGCUAUGUGUUCAGUCAAAGAGGACGACCUUCCCCGAUAGAGGAGGACCGUUCUUCAGUCAAGGGUAUAUGAGUACCUGGGCUCCCCUGCUAGAACCUCCAAACAAGCUCUCAAGAGUGAGUUACCAUCAGCACAAAGAUCAAUUUCUACCAUAGAAACUAAUUCUUAUGGUUGAUGUU